rnacentral:tRNA from 1 species
UGCCCCCUUAGCUUAAAUUAAAGCACAAUAUUGAAAAUAUUAAGAUAUAAUUGUUAUAUUGGGCAA